AGUGAACGCUGGCGGUAGGCCUAACACAUGCAAGUCGAACGGCAGCACAGUAAGAGCUUUCUCUUACGGGUGGCGAGUGGCGGAAGGGGGAGGAAUACAUCGGAUUCUACUUUUUCGUGGGGGGUAACGUAGGGAAACUUACGCUAAUACAGCAUUCGACCUACGGGGGGAAGCAGAGGAUCUUGGGACCUUGGGCGGUUGAACGAGCCGAUGUCGUUUUGGUUGGUUGGCGGGGUAACGGCCCACCGAGGCGACGAUCCGUUGCUGGUCUGAGAGGAUGAACAGCCACAGUGGAGCUGAGACGCGGCCCUGACUCCUACGGGCGGCAGCGGUUGGGAAUAGUGGAAAAUGUGCGGAAGACUGAUCAAGGCAUAGCGGGUGGGUGAAGAAGGGCUUCGGGCUGUAUAGCCGUUUUGGUGUGAAAGAACAGCAGCAGCUUAAGCCACCGCUGUUGUGACGGUACCCAAAGAAUAAGCACCGGCUAACUUCGUG
rnacentral:rRNA from 1 species